rnacentral:rRNA from 1 species
ACCGGCAGCUCAAGUGGUGGCCAUUUUUAUUGGGCCUAAAGCGUUCGUAGCCGGUUUGAUAAGUCUCUGGUGAAAUCCCGCAGCUUAACUGUGGGACUUGCUGGAGAUACUAUUAGACUUGAGGUCGGGAGAGGUUAGGGGUACUCCCAGGGUAGGGGUGAGAUACAAUGAUCCUGGGAGGACCAACGGUGGCGAAGGGGCCUGACCGGAACGAGCCUGACGUUUAGUAUCGAAAGCUAUUGACGCGCGCGU